rnacentral:rRNA from 1 species
UACGUAGGGUGCGAGCGUUAAUCGGAAUUACUGGGCGUAAAGCGUGCGCAGGCGGUUCGUUGUGUCGGCGGUGAAAGCCCCGGGCUUAACCUGGGAAUGGCCGUUGAAACUGGCGAACUGGAGUGUGGCAGAGGGGGGUGGAAUUCCGCGUGUAGCAGUGAAAUGCGUAGAGAUCCGGAGGAACACCCGUGGCGAAGGCGGCCCCCUGGGCCGCACCUGACGCUGAGACGCGAAAGCGCGGGGAGCGAACGGG